UUGACCUCGGAUCAGUAGGGAUACCGCUGAACUUAAGCAUAUNAAUAAGC
rnacentral:rRNA from 1 species